ensembl:lncRNA
ACAUGAAUUCAAUUUGUUAAUGUUUGGCCUCUGCCCCGGGAGGGCCCUGCCAGGAGCUUUAGGAUAAAACAACUCAGCAGAGCUCUAGGCAAGAGUUGACGAGACCUUCUCAAGAGCCACUGGUUCUGCCAAGGACCUCCUCCCUGCCUAGCAUGUGAAGACACUUUGGCAAAGCCUGGCACAGAACCUGCUAGUGAAGUCACCUAUCCCUUUUCAGGGUCCCUUAAAGGGCCAGGAGUGGCAAAUUUAAACACAGAGUUGCCUUCAGUGCUCCCAGGCGCUAGGAUGGGACUUCAGGGAGCUGCCAGCAGGAGCUAUUUUUAUGGAUUCCUUGGGAUUUUCUGAGUAGAAGAUCAUGAAACUGGUGGAUACGGACAGCUUUAUUUCUUCCUUUCCAAUCUACCUUUUCUUUUAAAAUUCAUUAAAGUGCCCAGGAGUUCUUUCGAAUGGAAUCCAUCAUGAGAUAAUUUGGAUCCUCCAUAGGCUAAUAAACAGCGGCCAGGAAAAUUCAGCUUUUAUCGUCACUAAAAGUUUACCAGACAUUGGAGCUUCUGGUUCUCAGGGCUUUGGACUCAGACUGAAUUAUACGACCUGUUUUCAGCUUCUCCACCUUACAGAUGGCAGACUGUGGGACUUCUUAGCCUCUAUAACCACGCAGACUCCAGUUGCAAACCUGACCCUACGGUUUUGGGCUAUGUCCCUGGCAGAGGACAUGGGAUUAUCAGGUCUUAUGUUCUGAUGCUACACUAAUGUCAUUGCAGCUAGUGGAUGCCAUUGACUCACAGUGAUUUCAGUUAACAAACAAGGACAUAGAAUAACUUCCAAGUGAUCUGCAAUAGAAAGAGCACUGAGUUGACUAAUAGUCAAGAAAUUGAACUUCUAAUCCCAAUUCUGAAACUAACUCAUUGUGUGGCCAUGAAUAAGUGACACAACUUUGCAACUCCUCAGCAUCCUCAUCUGUAAACAGGUUUUACCUACCUCAUUGAGUUAUUGGGGGAAUUAAAUGAAAUAAUGUAGGUUCAAUGCUUUUGAAUUUCUAGACUCAUCAUAGGAGUUUUAUACUUCAUAUCUGUUUUAAAGUAUUGUUAAAUUAUUUUAAAAAGCAUUUUGAAAUGUUAUGUAUGUUAUAACUGAGGUUAUUUUCUAAUUUGGUGGAAGACUAUUAGCAAGUUUGUAUCUCAUUUUGUAUCUGUCACAGUUCAUACACAUAUUCUGUUAAUGCUACCUUCAAAGGACAGAGUCCUGGGUAAGAGAAGACAAAAUUAGCAUUUAACUGCUCUCUACAUUAACCCUACUAUGGUAGGCUCUAAUCAAAGCACCAUUCUGUGUCUAGUGGUAGUUUGUCUUAAUUGCAAGCAAAGUUCUCCAGAAAAAACUAUUGCUCUCUCAUACCUAUGAAGUCAAAUAUAUAAAGCAACAGCAGUAUGUAGACCAAAGAUGGUAUUACUAAUUUCAUGGAGGCUAAUUAGGGGGACAUUUCUCUUCUUAUAAGAGUGACUGAACAAUGGUUCAUGCUUCUGGGUAUAAUUAUGGAGCCUCUGUGGUGUAAGGAUUCAAUUCCAGUGUUAGAGAUAAUUGUCUAAGACUUGAAAUGGGCAAAAGAGAUUACUGAGUAUCAUUCCAGAGGAGAACUGGGAGUUAUGUAGUAGAUCCUCUAGGGUUUAUUUGAUUCCAUAGGUGUAGGCACCUUC